CAUAACGAUGGUUGUGAGCCACCAUGUGGUUGCUGGGAAUUGAACUUAGGACCUCUGGAAGAACAGCCAGUGCUCUUAACCUCUGAGCCAUCUCUCCAGCCCCAGUUUUACUGGUUCUUAAAUGUUCCUUGUCUAGGUGCACGGUGCAUUCUUGUCUUCUGGUCUCUGUCUCUCAUGAUCAUAACAAUUUUGAAGAGUUUGGACAACUGUUUCAUAGAACCCCCUUUAAUUUAGACCUGUCUAGUUUUGUCUAAUUAUUAAAUUGCAACUAUGCAUUUUAGGCAAAAAAAAAAACCCAAAAACAAAAAACCUUAUUUGACCUCAGCAUCAAACCAGCAGUUGACAUACCUGCCAGGUUUCUUUAGCAUAAAGCUACUGUUUCUGAUUGAGCGUCUCAUGAGAAAAACACCAGAACAUAUUUUAAAAAAAAAAAAAAAUUUAAGGGGUCUGGGUACAUUUGUGGAGGUCAGAGCCCACCUUGUAGGAAUCUAUUCUCUCAGGCCCAGGGACAGGACUCAUCAGGCUUAGCUCAAGCACCUUUAUCCACCCAGCCACCCUGCCAGCCCCAGAACAUUUCUUGCUUUCACAGGCUCUCAUUGUUUUCCAUUAGUCAGUUCUGUAGUUUGCCUAAUGGUAAUAUUCCACUCCCAUAAUCCCCUUUUUUAUUAACUUGAAAUUCUGUAAGGAAGAAUACUCCUAUCUGACCAAACAUGUGUGGAUUGAAGGGUACUUGCUUUAUGGUGUGGGCAAAAAAAAUUUAUGUGGUCAUGAUCUCACAGCUCACAUGGCUCACUCACAGGGUUCCAGUUUAGCCAGCUCGGAGCCCUUCAGGAGGGGCACACAGCUGUCUCCAACUUCCGUGGCUAUCUGAGCUCUUCCUUUCUGGCAAGUUCCAGACUUAUCUUCCCUUAAUUGUUGACCUCUCCAGUGAGCCAGGCUUUUCUCAUUAGAGUGUGACACUAAAUGUAGGGUCUACUGUUUUAGUGUCACUGUGUCUGGGGGUGCCCUAAGCAGAGUUGGCUGGACUCAUUUCAUCUUUCAAACAUCAUUAGAUUCUACCAUAGGCUUCAAGCAGCCUGCUCCAGCCUGAUUUCUUUGUAGAACAGGUAAGACUGGGCUUUUAUUACCCUUAACUUACUUCUUUACUCCAUAUUAAUAUCCAAAACCUAAUUUCACAGUGCCUUCCCUUAUAAGAAAGAAACUUUACUGAAGCAAGAAACACCUGUUUACUAUUAUGUCCUUGUAGGAUCUAGUCCAGAUACUACUGCCAGCUACUGGGCUCCUGCUUUUGUCUCCCAGUCCCUGCAGCAUGGUUUUGCUAUUCGCUUGUAGUUCAGUGAAGUGCCCCUGUAUACGUAGGGCUGCUCUCCCAUUCCUCCUUCCUGUCUGCCCACUCCACCUCCUAGUGUAGCCAUCACAUCUCAUUCACUUCUGGCCUAUUCACCUCAGAUUUUGACCAAAAUCCACACUGUCUUCAGCUCUUUUCUCCUAAGAAUGAGUAUUUCUUUUGGCUUCAGCAGUACUAUGGACUCAGCUCCAGGUGGCAUCAGCUGGAACUAGAAGACUGUCAGCUGUGUCAGCAGGGGGAGCUGGCCAGCAUGCUUCCCAGCCAUUGAAUUGCAGCAGCACGCUCCUUUGUCUGUGCCAUGGCUUCAUGAACCAGUCUCUUCUUCCUACAGAUACCUGGGGGUUAAAUAUUUUCAUAUUCUUGUGCUUGUUUAUUUUGAAUCUGUGUUGUUUAAGAUAGCACUUUCCUGGGCCCUAUGUAAAGAUGUGUUGUUGUUUUGCCUUGCUUAAGGCACCUGACUGAUCUAAUAAAAAGCUGAAUGGUCAGCAUGAA